GGUACUCGUUAAGGCUGAGCUGUGAUGGGGAGAAGACAUUGUGUCUUCGAGUCGUUGAUUUCACACUGCCGAGAAAAGCCUCUAGAUAGAAAAUAGGUGCCCGUACCGCAAACCGACACAGGUAGUCAAGAUGAGAAUUCUAAGGUGAGCGAGCGAACUCUCGUUAAGGAACUCGGCAAAAUGACCCCGUAACUUCGGGAGAAGGGGUGCUCUUUAGGGUUAACGCCCAGAAGAGCCGCAGUGAAUAGGCCCAAGCGACUGUUUAUCAAAAACACAGGUCUCUGCUAAACCGUAAGGUGAUGUAUAGGGGCUGACGCCUGCCCGGUGCUGGAAGGUUAAGAGGAGUGGUUAGCUUCUGCGAAGCUACGAAUCGAAGCCCCAGUAAACGGCGGCCGUAACUAUAACGGUCCUAAGGUAGCGAAAUUCCUUGUCGGGUAAGUUCCGACCCGCACGAAAGGCGUAACGAUUUGGGCACUGUCUCAACGAGAGACUCGGUGAAAUCAUAGUACCUGUGAAGAUGCAGGUUACCCGCGACAGGACGGAAAGACCCCGUGGAGCUUUACUGUAGCCUGAUAUUGAAAUUCGGCACAGCUUGUACAGGAUAGGUAGGAGCCUUUGAAACGUGAGCGCUAGCUUACGUGGAGGCGCUGGUGGGAUACUACCCUAGCUGUGUUGGCUUUCUAACCCGCACCACUUAUCGUGGUGGGAGACAGUGUCAGGCGGGCAGUUUGACUGGGGCGGUCGCCUCCUAAAAGGUAACGGAGGCGCUCAAAGGUUCCCUCAGAAUGGUUGGAAAUCAUUCAUAGAGUGUAAAGGCAUAAGGGAGCUUGACUGCGAGACCUACAAGUCGAGCAGGGUCGAAAGACGGACUUAGUGAUCCGGUGGUUCCGCAUGGAAGGGCCAUCGCUCAACGGAUAAAAGCUACCCCGGGGAUAACAGGCUUAUCUCCCCCAAGAGUUCACAUCGACGGGGAGGUUUGGCACCUCGAUGUCGGCUCAUCGCAUCCUGGGGCUGUAGUCGGUCCCAAGGGUUGGGCUGUUCGCCCAUUAAAGCGGUACGCGAGCUGGGUUCAGAACGUCGUGAGACAGUUCGGUCCCUAUCCGUCGUGGGCGUAGGAAAUUUGAGAGGAGCUGUCCUUAGUACGAGAGGACUGGGAUGGACAUACCUCUGGUGUACCAGUUGUCGUGCCAACGGCAUAGCUGGGUAGCUAUGUGUGGACGGGAUAAGUGCUGAAAGCAUCUAAGCAUGAAGCCCCCCUCAAGAUGAGAUUUCCCAACUUCGGUUAUAAGAUCCCUCAAAGAUGAUGAGGUUAAUAGGUUCGAGGUGGAAGCAUGGUGACAUGUGGAGCUGACGAAUACUAAUCGAUCGAAGACUUAAUCAAAA
rnacentral:rRNA from 1 species